UGUGGGGGCCUUCGUGAGGCAGCAGUGGGGAAUAUUGCACAAUGGGCGAAAGCCUGAUGCAGCGACGCCGCGUGAGGGAUGACGGCCUUCGGGUUGUAAACCUCUUUCAGUAGGGAAGAAGCGCAAGUGACGGUACCUGCAGAAGAAGCGCCGGCUAACUACGUGCCAGCAGCCGCGGUAAUACGUAGGGCGCAAGCGUUGUCCGGAAUUAUUGGGCGUAAAGAGCUCGUAGGCGGUUUGUCGCGUCCGCUGUGAAAGCCCGGGGCUCAACCCCGGGUCGGCAGUGGGUACGGGCAGACUAGAGUGCAGUAGGGGAGACUGGAAUUCCUGGUGUAGCGGUGAAAUGCGCAGAUAUCAGGAGGAACACCGAUGGCGAAGGCAGGUCUCUGGGCUGUUACUGACGCUGAGGAGCGAAAGCAUGGGGAGCGAACAGGAUUAGAUACCCUGGUAGUCCAUGCCGUAAACGUUGGGCACUAGGUGUGGGGGACAUUCCACGUCCUCCGCGCCGUAGCUAACGCAUUAAGUGCCCCGCCUGGCAACC
rnacentral:rRNA from 1 species